UGUGUGUGUGCAUGUGUGUUCAUCAGGGAAUGAACCAGUGGGGGGCUUCCACACAACUUGUGUCACCCCAGAGACGGCAAUUAAAAUGACUCUGGAAGGCGUGUGUGUGUGUGUGUGUGUGUGUGUGUGUGUGUGUUUACAUACAUAUGCCACUCUGCGUGUAAGUGGGUUUUUGUGAAAUCUCCCCAGUACUUUGUUGCUGUAAUAAGACCCAUGAAAUAUUAACAUGCUCCUCUGGCAGAAUGCUUCAUAAAUUGUAUUCAGAUACUCACCACUCUCGCUUUCUCAUAAUUUAGAAGGAAAAAACACAAGAUGAAAAACAGUUAUUUAAAUCCCACGGAUGCACCCAAAGAUCUUAAUAUCACUUUAGCAUAUUGCAAUAUUGCAAGAUGAACAGAACCUGGUUGUUAAGUUGAUCCUGAGACAUGCAGUGACCUUCCUCUGAAUCUCAAAUCAUGGCCGUAGCUUGAGAGAGAGUGAAUACUACAUUAUCAUCCCAUUGUUGACCAAAAUGAUAUGUCUCCAAGUCUAUUUCAGGUAAGAUGUAGUAUUUUUGUAUCUACAUGAAGGUGGUUAGAGUCAGAUGUAUCUGUAUGAAGAUGGUUAGAGUCAGAUGUAUCUGUAUGAAGAUGGUUAGAGUCAGAUGUAUCUGUAUGAAGGUGGUUAGAGUCAGAUGUAUCUGUAUGAAGAUGGUUAGAGUCAGAUGUAUCUGUAUGAAGGUGGUUAGAGUCAGAUGUAUCUGUAUGAAGGUGGUUAGAGUCAGAUGUAUCUGUAUGAAGAUGGUUAGAGUCAGAUGUAUCUGUAUGAAGGUGGUUAGAGUCGGCUGUAUCUGUAUGAAGGUGGUUAGAGUCAGAUGUAUCUGUAUGAAGAUGGUUAGAGUCAGAUGUAUCUGUAUGAAGAUGGUUAGAGUCAGAUGUAUCUGUAUGAAGGUGGUUAGAGUCAGAUGUAUCUGUAUGAAGGUGGUUAGAGUCAGAUGUAUCUGUAUGAAGGUGGUUAGAGUCAGAU
ensembl:lncRNA